AAAAUCAUAAUGAGAGAAGGUGAAGUGAAAGAAGGAUUACCCGAAGUUGCUCAAACCCAGCAACCCAUGCGUCAGACGGCUAACUACCGUCCAAGAUACCACCGACCUAUGAAUCAAACAAGACCACUUCCACCAACUGGUGAGAUUGAAAACAAGGAAAACCAGUUUGAGUCAGUGGCCCCAGACCAGCAACAAAAUCGCUGAGGCUUCAGAAGACCAUACAACUACAGGCAUCGACCCAACCAACCAAGUGGUCCACCACAGGGGAAGAAGGAGUCAACCAAGUUGGCUGAAACCCCAAAAGAGAAGCCUUGCACAGUGGGUGAGAAAAGCAAUGCUGUGUAAUCUGAGUGACCUGAUCUUCCAUCAUGCAUAAUGUGAGCUGAGAAAGGAUGGACAUCAUGACAGUUGCCAAUUAAUUGGGAGAGAUGACAGAUACAUCUCCUAUGCUCCUCAGUUUGGAUUUCACAACAAAAGUACACUCAUAUUUUGUGUUCAUGCAUGCAUAUGUCAGGGGCAAAUUCAAAUGAUAGUUUAAAGAUGUUACUUACCUGAAGUCUGCUUCCUCUUAGGCGUUCUGUGUUUGUGUACUCUUACAAUGCUG